UACGUAGGGUGCAAGCGUUGUCCGGAAUUAUUGGGCGUAAAGAGCUCGUAGGCGGUUUGUCGCGUCGAAUGUGAAAACCCGGGGCUCAACCCCGGGCCUGCAUUCGAUACGGGCAGACUAGAGUUCGGUAGGGGAGUCUGGAAUUCCUGGUGUAGCGGUGAAAUGCGCAGAUAUCAGGAGGAACACCGGUGGCGAAGGCGGGGACUCUGGGGCCGAUACUGACGCUGAGGAGCGAAAGCGUGGGGGAGCAAACAGG
rnacentral:rRNA from 1 species